GACGAACGCUGGCGGCGUGCUUAACACAUGCAAGUCGAACGGAAAGGCCCUGAUUUUGUGGGGUGCUCGAGUGGCGAACGGGUGCGUAAAACGUGAGUAUCCUGCCCUUGACUUUGGGAUAACUUCAGGAAACUGGGGCUAAUACCGGAUAGGAGCCCCCGCUGCGUGGUGGGGGUUGGAUCGUUUCGGCGGUUGGGGAUGGAUUCGCGGGUUAUCAGCUUGUUGGUGGGGUAGUGGCUUGCCCAGGCUUUGAAGGGUAGCCGGCCUGAGAGGGUGACCGGCGACAUUGGGACUGAGAGACGGCCCAGACGCCGACGGUAGGCAGCAGGGGGGAAGAUUGCACAAGGGACGGAAGCCUGAUGCAGCAGCGCCGCGUGCGGGAUGACGGCCUUCGGGGUGUAAACCGCUUUCGCCUGUAACGAAGCGUGAUUGACGGUAAUGGAUAAAAAAGCACCGGCUAACUACGUG
rnacentral:rRNA from 1 species